rnacentral:misc_RNA from 1 species
GUUUCGGCCUCCCAGUCUAGCGUGGCACGAGUGGGCAUGUCGACGGCAACUCGGACAAUACCAUGUCCAGAAAUGAGCAGCCACAGAUUGGUGUGUCCCGCGGGUUCCUUGCCUCUCGCAAUCAACCACCGAAGAGGCCGUCCUUUUUAGUCCUGUGCUCAUUCGUAUCUUUAGGCCAUCAUUUUUAGUCAUGUGCAUUGUGUGUGCCAUACUGCCAUCUACCCAGCUCUGCAGGAAGUCAACGUACCCCAUGUGCCAGUUCACCUCACCACCUCGAGCGGGAGGCACAACCACAAUGUGGCCGUCACGUGCACCUUAACAACACAACCCUUGGGCCUCGUGCUAGCUGGCCUAGACCUUGGUAGGUCAUUAAGCCACCCUCGUCGAGACAAAGGUCGAUCCACCGAUGGGCCCCCUCCACUCUCUACGGGCGGUCGGGUGCCUUAACAGCAUCGGCAUCGCAAAGGACAUGCUACCUGGUUG